rnacentral:rRNA from 1 species
UGGGGAAUCUUGCACAAUGGGCGAAAGCCUGAUGCAGCGACGCCGCGUGCGGGAUGAAGGCCUUCGGGUUGUAAACCGCUUUCAGCAGGGACGAGGCCGCAAGGUGACGGUACCUGCAGAAGAAGCCCCGGCUAACUACGUGCCAGCAGCCGCGGUAAUACGUAGGGGGCAAGCGUUAUCCGGAUUCAUUGGGCGUAAAGCUCGCGUAGGCGGUCUGUUAGGUCAGGAGUCAAAUCUGGGGGCUCAACCCCUAUCCGCUCCUGAUACCGGCAGGCUUGAGUCUGGUAUGGGAAGGUGGAAUUCCAAGUGUAGCGGUGAAAUGCGCAGAUAUUUGGAAGAACACCAGUGGCGAAGGCGGCCUUCUGGGCCAUGACUGACGCUGAGGCGCGAAAGCUAGGGGAGCGAACAGG